rnacentral:rRNA from 1 species
GCUGGUUAGCUACGUUCGGUUUGGAUAACCGCUGAAAGCAUCUAAGCGGGAAGCCAAUCUCAAGAUUAGGUCUCUCACUGGGCUAACCAGGUAAGGCCCCUCGUAGACUACGAGGUUGAUAGGCCGCAGGUGUAAGCACAGCAAUGUGUUCAGCCGAGCGGUACUAAUAGGCCGAGGUCUUGAUCUU